GGCUUUGCUAAUUUAUGACCUCGUUUUUUUCCACGUUGCCAUGUCACCCUAUAUUAUCAUUACGAUUAAGUAUAACAAAUAUAAUAUGAAUAAAAGUUAUAUAAUAAUAUUUUACUGGAUUAUUUUACAAUUUGGCCAGGAAUGGUUUCCCCGUGCAGGCUUCUAUAGUAUUAUAGUACCUACCUAUAUGAUAAUAUAUGAUAAUAUAUGGACAUAAUAUGUAUACAAUACAUAUAUUAUACGUUCAUAAAUUAAUUAAACAAAAAAUAAAAAUACAUAUUUAGUAUUUAUACUUAAUGAAUUAAUUACAAAUAUUAACUACAGUAUAAUUAAUGAACUAACAAAAGAAACAAUUUAUUGAAAUUGGUUUACAGCAGAUGAAGGGUUUUGUCCCUUUUAAUUUCGCUUUCGGCGCAGAUGAUACUUAACGCCUAAUGUUUUAUUUUUCGCGUUCUUCUUCCUCUCGCUUUAAAUGCACUUGGCGGACAUAUCUCUUUACUGCUUCCCAGUUGUUUCUAGACUUGAGUAUGUUGUCGACCACAGUAUUAGGCUCGAAGACACAUCCAAUACAUUCCUUAAGUUCUUUUCGGUGUCGCCACUAGCGAUCGCAUCGGAAUAUGGCGUGUUCCGUAUCGUUAAUAUCUG